UUCCAGCUCACAGUUGAAUUUUUGCAAUUCGUUCUAUAGUGGACAAUGUGGUUGAUGACAUUAAACAUGAUCAAGGUCAAGAUUUGUAUGUGGUGAGGAUGGUAGAGGAUUUCUUUAAAGUGAAAGGUUCCACAUUUUUUAAUAGACUCUGAUGAUAUUUUAUGACUUGAAUAAUAGUGUGUGUGUCUAAUAUAGAUAGUUUGAGGGAAAAUAUUAGAGGAUGCUCAUAAUUGUUCUCACACCAUUCACAUAGGAUACUUGAGGAAUUUCUAUUAGUGGGAAGAGAUGAAGAAGAAUGUUGUAGAAUUUGUUUCUAAAUGUUUAGUAUGUUAGCAUGUGAAGAUUGAAACGACCCGUUUUAUAUAAUUAGUCAUUAUAUUAUUAUUAUUAAAAAAAAAGGAAAAGAAAAAAAAACAACUAACCUAUCUUUAUAUAUAAACCACGCUGCACCCCACCCCAUUACUUUCCCCACUCUCUCGAUCAAUUCCUUUCUUUUCCGUCGGCGCAGACAUAAACCCAAUGACUUGGUAUUCUCUUCUUUUGUUUAUUUUCUUGUCAUCUUCACAACUAAAUACUGCAUCAUAAUCCCACCGCACAGUAUACACAUUCAUGAAGAAAUUCAUGGCAUUCAAGUGGAGGGCUUUUUGGGAUAAUUUUGGGAGUUAAGGUCUUUGCUCUGAGGAAGGAGAAGGGUACCUACUCUUUCAGAAUUGCUUAAUUGGUUUAUUGAGAUUUGCCGGUUAGUGGUUCGUUUGGUUGUCGCGCAGUUGUGGAGAGCAAUCGUGUUGGUUCUUCGUAACUAUUUUCAGGCAGCUUAGUAGCAGACUGUUGUCAGAUUCAGAUCAUUCGACUUAUUUCCUUUAGCAGGUUGUCAUAUUGGUGUCUUUUAUUUAAUCCUGGUUAUCUGCAGCUAUAGGGAGUCCUAGGUGAAUUUAGAUUUGGGAUUGUGAUUUAUUGUUAUAUUUUAAGAGUUGGCACUUGAGUGCUCGAGUUGAUUUUAUAUUUCACUUAAAAUACUGGUUAUGGAAGAACUUAUUGGCAGAUGUUGUUAAUUUGUAACUAUUGGAAUUACAAAAGAGAUUCUAGUGUUUUUAUAUAUGUGUACAAAGAUAUUUUGAAUAAAUUGUUUGGAAAAUGAUUCUAUAAGGAAGAGGCUUGCCAGGCUAGGGUGGUAGUCUGUGCGCCGGUCACGGCUUAGGAUUUUGGGUCGUGACAAAGUUGGUAUCAGAGCUUUGGCUGUAGGUCCUACUAGCUGCAGACAUGAGGUGGUGAUAGAAUCUUUCUAGUAAAUUGUGAACCGCGGCACAACUUACUUCAAAGAUGCUAUUAAUGCCUCAUGAGAGUCUUAUUGUUGUGUUCAAGUGUGAUUUGAGUUCGUUCCUCAUUCACAAAAAUCUGAUUCAUGUCUUAUAUUUGAUGAAUGUUCUUUGUUCUAAGGAUGCCUCCUAAAUUUGAAUUUCUGUUAGAUGAUGAGUCAGCUUAUUAAGACCCUCUUUAAGGUGUCGUGGUUGGCGUUGUAGUUUAGGUCAAGGACCAUCGUCGAUAGGCGCUAGUUAUUCACUAAUGUAGCCAAUGUAAGGUGUUCAUAUCGAGGUAACGAAAUUCAGGGAUGACAGAGCUUACAAUUGGUAUGGAGGAAUUAUAACAUGAUUUACAAUAACUCGUUGGAGUGAUUGUUGGGUAGAAACAAGGGAACCUACAUAUGGAAAUUUAUUAGCGUCAGCUAGAGGUUAGACAGGACAGAGAAACAACAAGUAGGUGCCACUAAAGAUGUUGAGGUCAUGUUAACUGGUCACAUAAAGCUUAAUUGUCCUACUUUUAUGGUACUAGUGCAAGUGAGAAUCUACAUAAGCUUAUUAAUGCUUUAGAAAUGCUACAGAAAACAUUUGGAUGCGCACACGUCAGGGAGGUAGAGUUAAUAUAAUUAUAUCUUAUGGUUGUGGUAUAUGAUUAAAUUGAUGACUUUAUGCGCAUGAGAGCACUGAGAUCACCGCUGGUAGCAUAGGAUGAAUUUUCCUAGAAAUUCAUGAAUCAUUUUGUAACAGAGGGAGCUAGAGAGUUUGGAAAAUGACUUAAGCUGCUAGAGCAGACAAAGGACAAUGACUCUAGAGAGUGUUUCUAGUGCAUACUUAUCACGAUUGGUGCAAAAUUGUAGAGUAGAUUUUAGGGGUCUUUACAAUCCAUUUUUAUUCUUAGAGCAUUUUGCGCAAGAUCUACACCUUGUCCAACUUGUGUGAAGUUUUAUCCCGUAGCUUGCUUUGGAUACGAUUAGGUGUGUUGUUAGUGCAAUUGGACAUUUCAUAUUAUGAGGAAUUGCCUUGUGGUUGUGGUGCAACCUUCCUCUAGAAAUGAAUAAGUGUUAUUACGAGUAGCUUUAACAUCUUAUCUGCCCCUACAUCACUUGUUAGACAAGCUAUCAGUUCUUAUGGCAGAGAUCGUGGAGUACCUAAAAUUGUGGUAAAUGAAAUGGUAGUUGAGGUCAAUGAUAUGUUAGGAGCGUCGAGCUCGAGUCUUUGCUUUGACUCAUCAAGAUGCUUAGGCAACCAAUACGGAGGUAGUAACUAUACUUUUUAUAUGAUCUUGAGAUGAUUAUGCUUUGCUUAGUGCUAAAGAUAUAUACUCUUUAUCAUUGUGGUCAACUUAGCGAGUUAUCUUCCUUCUUGAAUAAGACGCUUGUCUUUGCUGAAUCUCUUGGGGAGAAUUUGAUAGUUGAGUUUGUGCACCAUUUUUUUUAAGGUAUUGGAGAUUGAGAGUCGUUGAUAGCCAUUAUAGCUUAGGACAUGAUUGAUUUUAAUGUGAUCUUUGGAUAUAGAUUGGUUAAUUUUUUGUCAACGAUACUUUGGAUUCUCAUAAUAAAGUAGUGAAGUUUAAAUUACCUUGAGAGCCAUCCUUCUCAUUUUCGGGAGAUCAAAUUUGGACAUCAUAUACUCUAAUUUUAGCUUUGAGAACUAGCAAGUUACUAAGGAAAGGAUUGUCAUGGAUACUUGACUUGGGGUAAAAGGAUACUCAAGCAGUUGAAAAAAAAAACAGAAGAUAUUUUAAUAGUGGGUGAAUAUUUGAAUGUAAUUCUUGGUAUACCGCCCAACAUGGAGUUAAAGUUUCUCGCAAACUUGGUUCCUAACACUAGUUUAAUUUGUGAAGAAUAAAGAUUGGAGUAUACAAUUAUGUGUUGACUAUAGGCGGUCGGAUAAUAUGACAAGAUAAGAAAAAAUAGCAGAUACCUUGCAUGGAUGAGUUGCUGAUUGGUUGCAUGUGCUCAAUUGUUAAAAAAAAAAUAGGACUUGUGAUCUAGGACCAUCAAAGGAAUAUUAAGGAUAGAAUUUUUUUUAGACAACUUUCAGAACAUGUUGUGUGCAUAAUGAGUUAUUAGUCACGCUUUUGGACUUAGGGAUGCCACUACUAUUUUUUAUGAAUUUAAUGGACUGCAUCUUUAAUCAUCCAAUGAUCAUUUUGUGGUUGUUCUUGUUGAUUUGGGAUACUACUAAGACAAAGAAGAGCACUAUAAGCUUGUUGAUUGUAGAGUAUGUAUAGGCUGCCCAUUCCAGCUCACUGUUGAAUUUUUGCAAUUCGUUCUAUAGUGGACAAUGUGGUUGAUGACAUUAAACAUGAUCAAGGUCAAGAUUUGUAUGUGGUGAGGAUGGUAGAGGAUUUCUUUAAAGUGAAAGGUUCCACAUUUUUCAAUAGACUCUGAUGAUAUUUUAUGACUUGAAUAAUAGUGUGUGUGUCUAAUGUAGAUAGUUUGAGGGAAAAUAUUAGAGGAUGCUCAUAAUUGUUCUCACACCAUUCACAUAGGAUACUUGAGGAAUUUCUAUUAGUGGGAAGAGAUGAAGAAGAAUGUUGUAGAAUUUGUUUCUAAAUGUUUAGUAUGUUAGCAUGUGAAGAUUGAAACGACCCGUUUUAUAUAAUUAGUCAUUAUAUUAUUAUUAUUAAAAAAAAAAGGAAAAGAAAAAAAAAACAACUAACCUAUCUUUAUAUAUAAACCACGCUGCACCCCACCCCAUUACUUUCCCCACUCUCUCGAUCAAUUCCUUUCUUUUCCGUCGGCGCAGACAUAAACCCAAUGACUUGGUAUUCUCUUCUUUUGUUUAUUUUCUUGUCAUCUUCACAACUAAAUACUGCAUCAUAAUCCCACCGCACAGUAUACACAUUCAUGAAGAAAUUCAUGGCAUUCAAGUGGAGGGCUUUUUGGGAUAAUUUUGGGAGUUAAGCUCUUUGCUCUGAGGAAGGAGAAGGGUACCUACUCUUUCAGAAUUGCUUAAUUGGUUUAUUGAGGUAUUUCUACUGGAGGAAUUUAUUAUACACCUCUAAAAACUUGUGCAUGGUUGCACAUUUGCUUUUUAACCUGCAAUAGCAAGUUUAGUAGGUUUUUUAAAAAAAAAAUAAAAAAACAUAUAUAUUAGUAAACUAAUUAAUGAAAGAUUAGGUUAAUUAUUAACUCAGUAAUUAAAACCCAAAAAAAACAAAAUCUUCAUCAAAACCCAGAUUUUGUUCUUUAUUGUGACACCCCAGAAAUAAAUUAUUUUCACCAAGAGAACAACAACAGCAUACGAAGCCCAGAGAUCAAGUUAAUUGUUUUAAAAAAACUCAAAUUAAUUCUGCAACACUCUUAUUUUUUUCUUAAUUAUGUGACCCAGAUCCCUGCAACACUCUCAUCACACCUCCACAAACACAUGCAUCAUCCAUCAUCCGUUGCAAUUUCUUUCCCCACAACCUCUGCAAUUCAAAUCCUCAACCACUCGGUUUCCUUAGAUCUGGGUACCUGGAAGAAAGCGUCGCCGGUGGUACACGGACCAGAUCCACCACCGCCUACACCGCUGAUUGAGGAGAGAAGAGAGGCGGAAAGAAAGGAAGAAGAAGGAAUCAGAAGAAGAAGAAGAAUCAAACACACAAGCCACCCACAGAAACCCAUUAAAGAAGAAGAAGAAGUAUGUCUUUGUUGUUGAAUCUCACUCGAUCUCUUCAUCUUCCCUUUGAUCUGUGAUUUGUUGUUGUAUCUUUGUUUUCUCUGGGUCAGGUCUAGGGUGGGAUGAGUUCGGUUUUGGUAGUGGUUUUGAGUUUGGGUCGUGGGUCAUGGGUGGAGGUUUGGGUGGUGGGGUGGAGGUUUGCGUGGGUUUCGGGUGGUUGGGGUUGUUGUUGGGGUGGGUUUCGUUGGGUGAGUUUGUUGUUAUGGGUUUCUGGGUUAAGUGGGUGGGAGGUGACAUGGAAUUUUCUCUGAUGGUUGUGGCGGUGGGGGAGGGAGGAGGUGAAGGAAGCGGUGGUGGUGGUGGGAAAGGGUGAGGUUGAAGAUGAGUUGGGUUGCAGUGGGGGCUCUGUGGUGAGGUUGAAGAUGAAGAUGAAAAUAUAUUUUUUUAUUCUGGAUUUGAGUGAAUCUGGGUUGUUUUAGGUUGAAGAUGAUGAAGAUGGAAUUAAUUUGGUGGAAGAAGAUGAAGGUUGAGGGAGGUUGGUGUUGGUGGAAGAGGGUUUCAGUGAUGGUGGUGGUGUUGGGGGAGAGAGGGGAUUUGGUGGUGGUAGUGAUGGUGUUUGGAGAUGGAGGGGAGGGCUUUUGCAGAGAUGGUGGGGAUGAGUUUUGGGGUUUGGAUCUGGUGAAGAAGGGAGUGAAAAGAGGAACAGAUUAAGGAAAAAAAAACAUUUUGAAAAUAUUUAUUAAAGAUAAAUGUUUAAUUAAGAAAAUAUGAAUUUUGAUUUUUUUUUUAAAAACCUGUUAUAGUGGGUCAAAAGUGCUUGGUGCAACCUUACACAAGUUUUUAGAUGACCAUAAUAAAUUUUUCCAUUUUUACUAGCCAUAAAUUUAGAGAAUAACAUUGUAUUGUAUGUUAGACUAAGGUAAAAUUAUUUGAGGGUUUUGAGUACAUAAUUGGGGAUUUCAUAGUUGCUCACGGGUAGUACGACAUAAGAUAAUUGUUGCUGAAGGUUUGAAGUUGAUUUUUGGUGUUCAGAUUUGCUGGUUAGUGGUUCGUUUGGUUGUCGCGCAGUUGUGGAGAGCAAUCGUGUUGGUUCUUCGUAACUGCAGCUUAGUAGCAAACUGUUGUCAGAUUCAGAUCAUUCGACUUAUUUCCUUUAGCAGGUUGUCAUAUUGGUGUCUUUUAUUUAAUCCUGGUUAUCUGCAGCUAUAGGGAGUCCUAGGUGGAUUUAGAUUUGGGAUUGUGAUUUAUUGUUAUAUUUUAAGAGUUGGCACUUGAGUGCUCGAGUUGAUUUUAUAUUUCACUUAAAAUACUGGUUAUGGAAGAACUUAUUGGCAGAUGUUGUUAAUUUGUAACUAUUGGAAUUACAAAAGAGAUUCUAGUGUUUUUAUAUAUGUGUACAAAGAUAUUUUGAAUAAAUUGUUUGGAAGAUGAUUCUAUGAGGAA